rnacentral:rRNA from 1 species
AUUGAACGCUGGCGGCAGGCUUAACACAUGCAAGUCGAGCGGGGGAAGGUAGCUUGCUACCGGACCUAGCGGCGGACGGGUGAGUAAUGCUUAGGAAUCUGCCUAUUAGUGGGGGACAACAUCUCGAAAGGGAUGCUAAUACCGCAUACGUCCUACGGGAGAAAGCAGGGGAUCUUCGGACCUUGCGCUAAUAGAUGAGCCUAAGUCGGAUUAGCUAGUUGGUGGGGUAAAGGCCUACCAAGGCGACGAUCUGUAGCGGGUCUGAGAGGAUGAUCCGCCACACUGGGGCUGAGACACGGCGCAGACUCCUACGGGAGGAAGCAGUGGGGAAUAUUGGACAAUGGGGGGAACCCUGAUCCAGCCAUGCCGCGUGUGUGAAGAAGGCCUUAUGGUUGUAAAGCACUUUAAGCGAGGAGGAGGCUACUUUAGUUAAUACCUAGAGAUAGUGGACGUUACUCGCAGAAUAAGCACCGGCUAACUCUGUGCCAGCCGCCGCCGUAA